CAUCCCUAUGAUGAAUGCUAUGCAAUCUAAAAGUAGUGGCCUGAUCUUUGAUGAUUCAAUGAUUCUGAGGGAUG
rfam:Citrus sinensis cultivar Ridge Pineapple sweet orange scaffold00046_contig_23, whole genome shotgun sequence.